UGUAUUUAACUCUAGUACAUAAAGUUGAGGGUCCCACGACAUGGGUCAUUUUUGCUAGUUGGCUCUUAAAUAAAAAACUGAUGAAGAGGGAGGAACUCAUGCUAGAUCUAUAAAUAAAGAAUACCUGAAAAAAGAGCAUGGCAAUUGUUAAGGAUUGACCAGUCCUGUUUGCAAGCUACACUAGCUAGAUAGAAACAAUGGAUGAAAUAGGGGUAGGAGGAGUCUGGAUUAUUCAUCCUUGUCGCUAGUGGGGCUUCCAAGGAAGGGAAAAGGGCAAAUGUAUAAACCAGUCCGAUACGGCGGCAUCUGUUCCAUGUGAAGUGCUCCUCAGACGUCACUGGUAGGAGAGGAUAUAGCCUCGGAACAUGCCGUCCCAAAAGAAAUUUACCAUAAGGGAAUGCUUUUCAUGUAGUUCUUGUCAUUUCGUCGCUGCUAGUGACUUGAAAAUCAUUUAUGAAUUGUUGAGUUGAAAAUAAUUGAUGAGUCUUUGUACUCCCUCCGUCCACGAAAGAGUCAAUUUUUAGAGUUGUCUUAAGUCAAACUUUUUAAACUUUGACCAAAUUUCUAGAAAAAAAUGCUA
rnacentral:lncRNA from 1 species